CUUAUGUAUAAAAUGCAAAUAAUAAAUACUCCAUGAGGUUCUGGUGAAGAUUGUAUGAAUAAUGUAAAAUGCUUUUAUAAAGUAUCUGGCAUACAGUUUGAACUCUAUAAAUGUUAGUUGCCAUUAUCAUCACCUUCACUGUCUGUUUUUCUCAAUUACAAGUUUAACACCCUCACCUCUUUGACACAUACAUUUCUUCUUCCCCACCUGGGCUUGGGCUCCCUUCCACCUUAUUUAUCAGAUCUUUGAUCUCCAUUUGUCUUCCAAUAUCUGUAUCUGUCCAAACCAACAGACUAACGCUUGCUUUGGUGGGCCAGCUGGCCUCCUCCAGAGCCAUCUACUCAGGCUUUCCUGGUUGCCUUUUAAUGUUGAAUGUGAUGUCUAGGAGUACUGUACUAAUUUCUAAAAAAAAAUUUUUUUUAAGGUGUGUAGGUGGUUCCAACUCACUUGGAAGACUGGAUUUAGCAGUGCUUCCUGUUCUUUGCUUCAGUUUGGAACUUUGCUGUGCUUCAUCAAGCCCAGUGACAUGAAGGAGGGAGCAGACCCGUCUUGUGGAGGAAGAGUAUCUCAAUUCAUUCUUUUACCCAACUCUCAACUAAUAAAACCUUGUCAUCACACUUAUGGGUUGGAAAACAACAAGCUAAUGCUCCGACACUGGGGACUAGGAAGUGUGGAUGCCACACAGUCCUGAAAUGCAAGAGUAAUUGGGGAGCAUAAUUAUCCACGGUGGCAGUGUGACGAGGGACGGAGGCUGACACUCCUAAGCUUGAGUAAAGUGCCCUGGAAUCCCAGUAGCUAUUGAAAUGAUCUACAUUUCAAGUUCCUGCCUCACCCGAGUGCUGGCAGCUCUCACAACCAGGCCCACCUGGGCACAUGUGGCCCUGUCCCAUAGGGCAGCCAGCCAUGUGCUGAGUCAUCAGUUCGUCCAAGAACUCUGAGCCAAGAGCUACAGCACAAGGCCACCCUGUUUUCCUUUGCCUCCCAGACCAAAACACUGCCAGGCACAGUGGCUAGAAGGGAGCGCCACCAGCGAAUGUUUCAACAAGACUUUUAAAUGCUAAUACAACUUUAUUAAAAUGAGCAAUGCACUUUACACUCACUAAUUUGUAGAAGUGGACUUAGAGGUCAUCUAGUUUAACUGCUUCAUUUUACAGAUGUGGAAAGAGAUGUGGAGAGGUGACCUGUCUUGCUGAAGUCACCCAGCUGGCCAAACCAGGAAUAAACCCCGGUCUCUUGAUCACCUGCCCCCCACCACAGUGCUCCUUCAUCUCAUGACACCAGCAUUCCCCUUACCACCAACACCCUCCGUGUUGUUACAGCUCUCCAGCACAUUCUUUUGCAAUAAAAUAAUGGCUGGCUGAAAUAUUUUACGCAUCCCGAUAUGACGCUUGGACAGUUGAAGGUAAAACCUAGGACGCCUCAGCAGAAAUGGCUUCACAUAUUAUUUUAAAAGACAACAAUUUAAAUUAAAAAAAAAAAACAAUUUAAAUCUUGGUUUAUGGACUUACUCAGAAAUUCAAGUUUCAGAAAAGCUACAUAAAAAACAAACCUGUAGUCCCAUUUCAAGGAACCAAUCAUCUACUCUUAAACUGUCAUCAAUUUACAGCAACUCAAAUUUUCAUUUUGGGACAUAGCCAGAUUUAACAAUCAUUAUUGUUAUUCUGUUCUAGCAUUUCCCCAUGUGAGGUAGUACAUACAUAACAAGUGGAAGAUGGAAUUUUCUAUCAGACAUCUGAACCCAAAUAUAGUCAGAAUGUACAUUGUUCUUAGCCUAAGGAUGAACACAUGCAAAAGAAACCUAAAACACC
ensembl:lincRNA